UACGUAGGGACCAAGCGUUGUUCGGAUUUACUGGGCGUAAAGGGCUCGUAGGCGGCCAACUAAGUCAGACGUGAAAUCCCUCGGCUUAACCGGGGAACUGCGUCUGAUACUGGAAGGCUUGAAUCCGGGAGAGGGAUGCGGAAUUCCAGGUGUAGCGGUGAAAUGCGUAGAUAUCUGGAGGAACACCGGUGGCGAAGGCGGCAUCCUGGACCGGCAUUGACGCUGAGGCGCGAAAGCCAGGGGAGCAAACGGG
rnacentral:rRNA from 1 species